CUGCUAGUGACAGGAGUGCUCUGUUCCCUUCCCAUUUCACAGAAGAAAAGACUGGCCAUUGAGCAGAUACAGGUUGGACAGCAUACACCUGUCCCCAGCUCUGAUCAGGGACAGGCCAGGCUACUGGUCACCGCUGGCUUUUCAGGAGGUGGCAGCACCAUGGGGAACACUGGAGAAGGGAAAAGCGUAACCACAGCGUCCUCCCUCACACUGCCCGCCUGCCGUCUGCCCUUCAGAGACUUCUGGUGAGAAAGGUCUGUUUGCAGCCUAGGACCCAACUACCGAAUCAGUCUGCUUCUGGUCAGCCCGCGACUCUUCGCCUCUGCUUGGUUCUGAUGCUUCGGGUUCCUCUGGCUGGAACUGGAGAUAAGAAAGAACACAGCUGGGCUGGAGAGAUGGCUCAGCAGGCUGAUAGCAACCUGAGGCCGUGUGAACUGACCCUGCACUCCUGGUGUCUCCGUACUGCAUUAGUCGACAAGAUGGGGUGGAAGAGAGGCCGAUGGUGUAGGAAGCACGGCCUCUGAAGUGGGAAACAUUAGUAAAACUCCUGCAGGUAUGACCCCUGGGAUGUUGUAAUGAGUACGGGCCUCAGUUUCAUCAUCUGUAAACUGGGGAUAGUGGCAGCUGCUUCUUCACUGUGCCUGGCAUAUGUGGCCUAGCACACUGCUUGUGACCCGGUGACAGAACUUCCAGGUAGGUGCCUUGCUGUCCCAUGGCAGGGGGUGAGGAGCACAGUUUGAAACAAUGGCUUUUGCUGGGCACCCUUCAGAUAUGGGGCAGACUUACCGCCAGGUCCGGUGGGCUGUGGCUCUCUAGGUGAUCUCUCUGCUCCAGUGCAGCCAGAGGGGAAGUUUCUGGUCCACUUGUCACUUUGGUUGUUGGCCACUGGCUGGAGGUACAGGCUGGACUGGGUAGCUGUGCUGGGCUCUCAGACGGCUGACCAGGCCUGUGUCCAUUGGCUAGGGUGUCCCUGGCCUGUCCUUCAGGCUGGGUCUGCGACUCUAUCUUCAGGGUAUCCUCUGUGCCUGAGGAACCCAGCUCUGGUCCUGAAGCCUUGGCUGGGUCAUGCCAGUGCCUAGCUGGGUCCUUUUGGGGCAGCCUAGUCUGCAGGAGCUCCAGGAGGCCUUCCCAGUCCAGCCUUGGGAGCCGGGUCCAGGCCCCAUCCUCAGGUGCCCGGAGAAGACCUAGUAGGUCCCUCCAAUCUAGGUCGGGUGUCCUCUCAGUACUAUGCUGAUGUGGGGGUGCUCCCUCAGCCCUCCAGCCCACGGCAGUGCUGGCCUCAGGCUGCCGAGCACAAGAGCACUCUGCUGGGCCUGCCCAGGAGUUCUCUGGGGAAGGUGUAGGCUGGUGAGGCCUGGACAACUCCUGAAGUCUACCUUGGCCCCUUGGGGGGACCCCCUGUAUCCCAUUACUGGGAGGCUCCUCCCAGGCCUCUGAAUGUCCCCACUGUUCCCUGCGCUCCAGGGGAGGGCCCCUCCAUAUCCCCUCCAGGCUGGGACCCUCAAGUUCUGGCCAACCCCCCAGGCUUGGGCCCUCCUCUUGGUCACCCCAGCUUUUCUCUGGGUGUUUGUUAGGACUUUGGGGUCCUGACAGCCUCUCCUGGCUCUGCCACCCUCUCAGAGGCUGCCUCAGGCCAGUGUAGUCACUCUCCAGAUGCCUCUCUAUCUGAGCCUUCCUCUCAGGGGGCCUGGCUGAUGUCCUGGCAGGCGGCGAGGUCCUCUGCAGCUGCCGGUCUCCCUCAGGCCGCUUUUCAGGACUCUUAGGAUGUGGAGGUCCUGUUCGGCUCUGCCGGGUUGGCUCUGCCUGCCUGGCAGAGGGCUUGGUCACCUGCGGAUGAGGUGAAGGAAUGGGUGAGGCUCCCAACUGCACCAGGUAGUUGCUACCUGUCUUAGCCAAGCCCCAGAAGCGAGGCUGUGUCUUCCUAGAAGCCUGGAUCAAAGCAGGUGGCAAGCCAGGGCUCUGUCUAUGGUGUGCAGGGCGCGCUCCCCUCUCAUACACUCUCCUCUGCUUCAGAAAGAGAUCUGCAGAGAGCUGCUCGCUUUCCGGACUCCCCUCCCGAAGCUAUCAGGUGCCCGAAUUUCCACCACGGGUAACUGUGCCAUUGGGUGCGCCUUGCCCUCUAAGUUUCACUUGAGAUCCAAUCUCUAGGCUGGAUGAGGCAGCCCCAAGAGCCCGCCUGGUGCACCUGUGGCUCUCAGAGAUGGCAAGAUAGCAGGUAACAAGGGGACAGCACAGAGAGGCCAGCGUCAAAGGAUUUGUAUGGAGUCCGCAUCUUGCCAACAGCUUCUGGGCCAUGGAAGAGAGUGGAGUUCAAUCCCAUGCUGGGGCCCUGCCUUUCUCACAGAGGACCUCCCUGCCCAGGACUCGUGCUCAGAACCGAGGGUACUGGGAGAGGCAGUGAGGGCCGGUUGCUAGCAGUGCUCACCUGCCUGCUGGGGGCAGGGCUGGACUGUCUUCGAGGUUGGCUCUGACCUUGGCUGGGCCGCUGGGACCGUCCCUCAUCCCGAGCCUGGAAGGCCCCCGGUGCCUCCGAUUUCCUAUGAGGAAAUGUAGCUUGUUCCAGAGGGCCUUGGGGACUUCACUCCCGUACCCCGCAUUCUCAGCCACCCCUGAUAAAAGACUCAUUGAGGGCCCAAAGUGAGGAUGACCCUCUCAGCGUCUCAGUUUCCCCUUCUGGAAAAUGGGGACAUGUACUGACUCAUAAGGUCAUGAAGAAGACACAGGAGUGAGGGCUGGGAAGAGGCCAUGCCUCUCACCCACCUCAUUCAGACAUGAGCCACCGAGUAGCCAGCCACCGCCAACAAAGGUUAGACUAGUCCGUGUGGGAAUUCAGAUUUAAUGAGCAUCUAUUGUGUACCAAGUACUGAGCAAGAAUAAUCACAAUGUUUAAAAAAAUAUUUAUUGAGCACUUUGUACAUUCUAGAUGCCAAGCGCUUGUGUGCCAAGAAGUCCCACUCAACUUUGUACAACUACUUUGAGAGGACAAGAGGGGUGACUGUUGGGUACCCCGUUUUCUAUUCUUUCUGCCCUUUCCCCAUCCAGAUGCAAAUCGAGGAUUCCCCCAAGCCUGCUGCAUCCUGUGCUUCUCUUAGAGCUAAACGGAACUCUAUCGCUGAACUCUAUCACUCUUUUGAGAGAUUUGAGAAUGCCGGGCCCCUUCAUAACCAGUGGAAUGGUUCCUGGCUGCUGACUAGGAAGAAACACUUCUCUCCAACACAAUAAUCCCAGAAAGGUCACUAGCAAAUGUCACCAUGAGGUGACCUUCAGCCUGUGCCAAAAUUCUCAGUUCCAGAUACUUGUGUGGGUUAACCAUGAGUGGCCGUGGUUACAUUUGACGUGGCACCACCGUUAUAAAGCUAACAGACUUGGGACAGUCCGAUCCCUCUCCUAGUAAGGGAGUUACCACAAAAGACAGCCUCUGUGAACGUUUAACUUCUGUGGGUCUGACUAUUGGACUUCAUCUAACCUGGUAACAGAAAGGGGCGUGUGUGAUAUCCAAGGGUCCGGCACGGCAAAAAUAAGUCAAUGGAGCCACUGACUGGAGGCUGAGGAAAGCCAUGAGGGACCCCAGGAAGAAGAGAAGCUCUCAGUGAGCCCAGAGUGAGUCCCAAAAGGAAACAAGAGGGGACUGUGGGGGCUGUGUCUCCCAAGUCUGCUCAGCUAAAGAGCCGUGCAGAACACUGCGGAGGUUUGCAGGAGGACCGGACCAUGGGCGGUGGUGACACCUGAGACCCCGGUGCUCAGGGGGUAGGGCAGGGAAACCAAGUGUUCGAGCUCAUCCCUGACGACGUGGGAAGUUGGAGGCCAGCUGGGCUACGUGAGACCCGGCCUCACACCAACCAGAAGAGUGGCGUCAGGCGUUGCUCUCACCCUGUGGCCUCUGCUGAUGUCACUAGAGUUAGUUCUGGAGGCUGUUGGAAUCCUUAGCAGUCCUGAGGUCCCUGGAUUCUAAACCUGAGGACUCCCUGAUGAGGCUCCAUUUUUAAUCAAUUUUAAGGCCUUUGAACAAGUUUCCCCCAGGACUGACGUUUAGGCGUUUCAAUGAAGCAAACCUGACGGGGGCCCAAAUGGGCAAAUGGUCGGUCUCUGUCCAACACGCACGCUCCAUACAAGCUGGCUGAACGGUCAUUCCUUCCAAUGUCUUCCCCUUAUCCCUUAUGAAGCUUUGAACGACAGGAUUGAAAGCCCUAGAAGACAUGCACACGCGCACAAACACACACACACACACAAACCCAGAUGUUCUGAAACAGGACCUGCCCAGGGCAACCUGUUCCCAAGAAUUGAUGUGGCUGACCAAGGAAAUGAGUCUCCUCAGGAUACUCAGAUGGGCCUAUGGGCCUCCAAAUGGUGUCAAAGAACCAACAUGGCAGGCAGGGUAGCACACACCUUUAAUCCCAGUGCUGGGAGGCAGAGGCAACUAUGAGUUCCAGGCUAGCCUGGUCUACAUAGCAUAUUCCAGACAAACUAGGGCUACAUAGUUUUUGUUUGUUUGUUUGUUUGUUUGUUUGUCUGUUUUUAAAAGAACCAAAGAUACCAAGUCUAGGUGACCCAAGGAAGACUGUUUUAAAAUUCAGGCAUCUAAUGGAAGAGAAGGCAAAAACACCAAGCCAAGUGCCUAAUGAUAUGACUCUUCCAGAAAAAUGUUCCAGGCUCAGAACAAAAUUUGGGCAAAGUAGAUGCUCAAUAAAUACAUGUCAGAGGAGUAAGUGGAAGACAAUAAAAAUACAACCCU